UACGUAGGUGGCAAGCGUUGUCCGGAUUUACUGGGCGUAAAGAGCGCGCAGGCGGCUGGUCAAGUCCGAUGUGAAAUCUCCCGGCUUAACUGGGAAACUGCAUCGGAAACUGAUCGGCUUGAAGGUGGGAGAGGGUAGUGGAAUUCCCGGUGUAGUGGUGAAAUGCGUAGAUAUCGGGAGGAACACCAAUGGCGAAGGCAGCUCGCUGGGACGUUACUGACGCUGAGACGCGAAAGCGUGGGGAGCAAACAGG
rnacentral:rRNA from 1 species